ACCGUGGUAUCCCGGCUCACCUCCCCCCCCCCCCCCCCCCCCCCCCCCCAGGAUCCUGUGUGAGUUUCUCUUUCUCGGGCAGUUCCUCAACUGUUGGUCUUUCCCAAGACCUCCUAAUCGGCUCCUCUCUUCUUUUCUUGAACAUUCUUUGCCUGGGUAAAUCCAUCCACUCUCUCGGCAUCAGUCGAAAGGUGAUCACACUUCUCUAUUUGCCCCAAACUGUUGGGGCUGACCCCCUGUUUUCCCAGCGCAGUUACUAACAGCACCCCUCCCCCCACCAUAAAAAAGUCCCACUUCGGACGGAAACAAAUGAUUCAGUCUCCUUAUCAAUCACCAUUUGUAUGCAGAAGGCUCCUGAAUUGCGGCAAAGCCCAGUGGCUCAGAGGGGGGCCCGGAGCCAGCCCCCUGCGUUUAUAUCCGGUUCCACCGCUUACCAGCCUUUGAGACCCAGGGCCCUUUAAGUGAUUUUUUGCACUCAGAACCUUCAUCAACAAACUGAGAAUAAUACCAUGAAUCUCUUUAGAAGAGAGGGUUAAAUGAACAAAGUCAUUAGCGCGAGGACCGCCGCGUUUUUAAGUGCUCAAUAAAUUACGCCAGCCCAAACCUGUCUUCCCAGUGCCAGACGCAUUCAGACGCCCAUUUAUCCUACCAUCAAACCCUGGCUGAAUUCCUAAGAUAAUUCUCCUGUGACCCUUGGACAAUCUUCCUGAAGAAGGAUCUGGAAGACCCGUGUUCCCACCGCUCUGUGUGUUGGCAGCAGCGGGACUGAGGAUUUCGCCAGUUUCAAGCUGCGUGGCUUGGAACGGGAAGAGGGACGAGAUCCAAGAGGAGAGAAGCUCACCUGGAGAAUGGAACGCGCAAACUCACUCUGGUGCUGGCCUUUUCCAAGUCCUGUUUUUCUCCCUUCAGUUCCGAGUUUGGACCCAUGAGCUUCCCUUCCUACUGCCAGGUUCAGCUGGGCUUUGGGCUUCUCCUCUAUCCCUCAGUGACAAAAUCAAGUCAACAUGCUCUGCUCUCAGGGUUAAUUGUGGAAAUCAGAUGAAAUGCUCUGUAAACUUUACAAACGUUCAUUGUUGUUAUUCUUGAGCCACAUCUGCAUGUUCGAGGGGUGGGUUUUUACGAGGUAAGAGAGCUUUCCAGUUGAACGAAGGGCUUAAUUUAUUACUGAGAAACACUAAUUUCAUGUGUUAUUCAGUAACAUUUAGUGUCCACUCCACCAGUAUACGAAGAGUUUUACCUGCUUAUCUAUGACAUUGGUAUUUUAUUUUUCUCCAUUUUUCACAUUUGAAAAUUAAGUUUGGAAGAUGAGUCAUCUGCCCAAGGUCAUCUAUUUUAUGAAAAAGCAGAGCUGGGAGUCAAAACUGAUGCCAAGCCUUUGUGGUCAGCCACAACAUACAAGAUUGCACAGACAGCCUACGCUUCACAUCCUUUCUCCUGUUCACAACUGGCUGUUUCUUUUUACUGUACAUUUUUAGAGAUAUAGUAGUGUAUCAAUCAUAAAUCUUUCUUGUUACAAAAUAACAGUUGUCUUGUGGGAAUGUAAACUGGUGCAGCCCCUCUGGAAAACAGUGUGGAGGUUCCUCAGGAAA